rnacentral:rRNA from 1 species
AACGUAGGGGGCGAGCGUUAUCCGGAAUCACUGGGUGUAAAGGGUACGCAGGCGGAUUUGUAAGUUGGAUGUAAAAACUCAGGGCUCAACCUUGAGCUUGCAUCCAAGAAUACAAGUCUAGAGAGCAGGAGAGUGGAGUGGAAUUCCCGGUGUAGGGGUAAAAUCCGUAGAUAUCGGGAGGAACACCAAUGGCGAAGGCAGUUCCCUGGUCUGUCUCUGACGCUCAGGUACGAAAGCGUGGGGAGCAAACAGG